rnacentral:rRNA from 1 species
GCUGUUAAAAAGCUCGUAGUUGGAUCAAGAGUCGGACAGUGCACGGUGGCCCUGUUUGCUUGUCUUUGGCUCCGGUCAGGGUGGCGGCAGCGGAACUACCCCGUGCAUCAAACUGUCCGCUCUAACAGGCCGAAGCGGUUCCCUGUGAGUAGACUCCUUAAUUGGGGUGGAAAGCGCCUACGCAUCAACCACAUGCAUACGGGACGUCGGCCAAUGUUACUGUGAACAAACCAGCGUGUCCAAAGCAGGCUUGCCUGAAUGUUCGAGCAUGGAAUAACAAGGGAUCGAUUCUCUCGGUUCUUUUUGUUGGUUUUUAACCCGAGAAGGAGUAAUGCAGGCCACGGUGUCUGAGGUGGGUUUCCCUAGGCUUUCCACACUGUAAACAAUGCCGUCUCAGGAUUGAGAAGUGAACCUAAUGACUUUCACAGCACUAACCCCUGAAACGAGAAAUCAAAGAUUAUGGGUUCAGGGGGGAGUACAUUCGCAAGGCUGAAACUUAAAGGAAUUGACGGAAUGACACCACAAGGCGUGGAGUAUGCGGCUUAAUUUGACUCAACACGGGGAAUUUUACUAGGUCAGGACAAUGUAAGGAUUGACAGAUUGAGAGCUCUUUCUCGAUCCAUUGUGUGGUGGUGCAUGGCCGCUCCUGG